rnacentral:rRNA from 1 species
AGAGUUUGAUCCUGGCUCAGAGUGAACGCUGGCGGUAUGCUUAACACAUGCAAGUCGAACGAGAACGGCCCUUUUUUAGGAAAGGGUGUCAGCUAAGUGGCGAACGGGUGAGUAACACGUAGCUACCUGCCUUACAGACUGGGAUAACAGUUGGAAACGACUGCUAAUACCGGAUACACCCUAAGGGGGAAAGAGUUAUCGCUGUAAGAUGGGGCUGCGGCGUAUCAGCUAGUUGGUGGGGUAAAGGCCUACCAAGGCUAUGACGCGUAGCUGGUCUGAGAGGAUGGACAGCCACACUGGAACUGAGACACGGUCCAGACUCCUACGGGAGGCAGCAGUGGGGAAUAUUGCACAAUGGAGGAAACUCUGAUGCAGCAAUGCCGCGUGGAGGAAGAAGCAUUUCGGUGUGUAAACUCCUUUUAUAUCUGAAGAUAAUGACGGUAGGAUAUGAAUAAGCACCGGCUAACUCCGUGCCAGCAGCCGCGGUAAUACGGAGGGUGCAAGCGUUACUCGGAAUCACUGGGCGUAAAGAGCGCGUAGGCGGGUUAGUAAGUUGGAAGUGAAAGCCCACAGCUCAACUGUGGAACUGCUUCCAAAACUGCUAAUCUAGAGUUUGGGAGAGGUAAGUGGAAUUCCUGGUGUAGGGGUGAAAUCCGUAGAGAUCAGGAGGAAUACCGAAAGCGAAGGCGACUUACUGGAACAAUAUUGACGCUGAUGCGCGAAAGCGUGGGGAGCAAACAGGAUUAGAUACCCUGGUAGUCCACGCCCUAAACGAUGAAUGUUAGUCGUUGUGAUGCAAGUCAUUGCAGUGAUGCAGCUAACGCAUUAAACAUUCCGCCUGGGGAGUACGGUCGCAAGAUUAAAACUCAAAGGAAUAGACGGGGACCCGCACAAGUGGUGGAGCAUGUGGUUUAAUUCGAAGAUACGCGAAGAACCUUACCUGGGCUUGACAUCCCGGGAACCUUUCAGAGAUGAGAGGGUGCCUCCUUAUGGAGGAGCCCGGAGACAGGUGCUGCACGGCUGUCGUCAGCUCGUGUCGUGAGAUGUUGGGUUAAGUCCCGCAACGAGCGCAA